rnacentral:lncRNA from 1 species
UAUAUAUUAUGUAUUAUAUACAUAUAAUCUGCUUAUAUAUGUAAUCUUCCUCAUAUUUCCAGACUCAGCUGACACUGAAUUGCCUCCAAGAAACAUUCCCUGAUCCAGCCAGCUACGAUUUCUCCUUCUAGUAAAGCUUUACAAUCUUGCACUUGGUUCCUCUUCUAUGAUACUCAUCUCAUCUAAGACAGAAGGGUUUAUUAAAAAAAAGCACUCUCCAUUCAUUCUCAAACAUUACUAUGUUUGUUAUUCCUUAUGACUAGAAGAAUGGAGGCUUCGAGGCAGAAUCUCAGCAGGAGCAAAAGUGUGUUGUCAUUACAUAACAUACAAUUCACUGUCCACUGCCAAGAAUAAUCUGAUAAAAUUACUUCAUCUGAGAAUAAAUUAGUCAAAAGCCAUCCAAAAAUUGCUUAUCAGUGGCAUCAUCAUAUACAGAGGUGGUACAGAAAGAAGACUGCAAAAAUACUUGUGGGCGCAGAUCCUGAAAUUUUGCGCAACAAAUCCAAAGGAAACAUUUAUUGUGAUCAUAAUGGAAAGCCAACCAAACAGACCCAUCUAUGAACUGGCAUAGGUUGAUCUCCCUGCAGGCUGUGGAGUAUUUGCAAGGUGAAAGAGAAUGCAGAUGGCCAGGCCUUGUGCAUUUUAAAAGUUCAGAAGCUCUAGCCACUUACAGGAAGUCUGGGGCCUGGGGUCCAGCCUGGGCUAUGCUUAAAAGCCAAAAAAAAAAAAGUGAGAGAGAGAGAGUCUUCCAUUGUUCAGUGAGAGAUUUGUAA